rnacentral:sRNA from 1 species
GCCGCCUAAGUCAGCCUUGCAAAGAGGGCACAGUGCGUUUAUCUUGAGCCAUUUAUCGACGCAUUCCAAGUGGAAAACAUGAUUGCAGGGAAGCUCCCGUAGAUCUUCGUUGUUUGAGAACUUUGACAAGCAGAUGCAGCAUACCUGCAGAGCCCAGAGAUCCAUAGGUUUCGCUCUUUGUCUGUUCCAGCUGCCAAUACUCCACCAUUAUCUUCUCCCGCUUCUCCAUCUUGAAACUUUUUCGAUUGGAACUUGUAUGCCACCAAGGCAUCGAUUGCUUCUGCAGUAGCGCCUCUGUUAAAAUCCAAAUCCUCGUGGAUGCCCAUCAUGGAGAUAAUGCAGGGUAGGCAGCAGCAUAUCAUUGUACAUAGGAUGAAAGGCAGGGCAUAGCCGAUGAAGCCGAAUGCAAGGAAUACUAUGCACAGCCUGAAAAAUGAUCACUAACAAAUGAGUAAACAUCUAAAGAAGUACGGCCCCCGAAUAUCCACACAUUCCCAACAACAAACCACACAGCAAAGAAACAAUCCAGAGCCAAUUUGAAGCACGCAACCAAUGCAUAAUGCUACCUUGGACUUGCAAUCCUUGCUACUCCACCAUUAUUACCACUGUCCACAACUUCUGAUCCAUGAGCAGACGAAACUACUACAUAAGAAUUAGGCUCAUAUACGUCCCUUUCAGAUGAAACCUGAUUUGUUGAUUCUUGCUCUGUGUUCUGCCGAUUGCGGUGGAGAAAUCGCCAAUAAAGGUGAGGAAGAGUAGCAACACAACCUAUCGUAUAACCAAUAAGCCACUGAGCCAAAGGAGCAUGAGGAUGCUCGUUCCUUGAUACUGACAGGACAGUAAUAGCUGCUAUAAUCUGGCUUAAACUUACAAUAAGCUCAAUUGAGAUCCAGAAGCCAGAAUUCAAAGGAUUUGGUUGACGGUGUCCUUGAUCUCUUCUUGCAAAAGAAGCGUUUCGGGAGAUAGAUGCAG